CCUACGGGUGGCAGCAGUGGGGAAUAUUGGGCAAUGGAGGCAACUCUGACCCAGCAACGCCGCGUGAAUGAUGACGGUCUUCGGAGUGUAAAGUUCUGUGAUGGGGGAUGAACACAAUGACGGGACCCCAAUAGCAAGCCACGGCUACUAACGUGCCAGCAGCCGCGGUAAUACGUAGGUCGCAAGCGUUAUCCGGAAUGACUGGGCGUAAAGGGUGCGUAGGUGGUUUAGUAAGUUGGCGGUGUAAUUCCGGGGCUCAACCUCGGCGCUACCGCCAAAACUAUUAGACUAGAGAGCAGGGGGGGUAAGUGGAAUUCCUGGUGUAGCGGUGGAAUGCGUAGAGAUUAGGAAGAACAUCAGGGGCGAAGGCGACUUACUGGACUGUAACUGACACUGAGGCACGAAAGCGUGGGGAGCAAACAGGAUUAGAUACCCUUGUAGUC
rnacentral:rRNA from 1 species